UGAAGGCUGAAAUUCGCCUUCAUGAAGCCGGAAUUGCUAGUAAUGGCAGGUCAGCAUACUGCCGUGAAUACGUUCCCGGGGCCUUGUACACACCGCCCGUCACACCAUGAGAGUUGGAGAUACCCGAAGCCUGUGAGCUAACAAACGAGGCAGCAGUCGAAGGUAGAAUCAAUGAUUGGGGUGAAGUCGUAACAAGGUAAC
rnacentral:rRNA from 1 species